rnacentral:rRNA from 1 species
GACGAACGCUGGCGGCGUGCUUAACACAUGCAAGUCGAACGGAAAGGCCCUGCUUUUGUGGGGUGCUCGAGUGGCGAACGGGUGAGUAACACGUGAGUAACCUGCCCUUGACUUUGGGAUAACUUCAGGAAACUGGGGCUACUACCGGAUAGGAGCUCCUGCUGCAUGGUGGGGGUUGGAAAGUUUCGGCGGUUGGGGAUGGACUCGCGGCUUAUCAGCUUGUUGGUGGGGUAGUGGCUUACCAAGGCUUUGACGGGUAGCCGGCCUGAGAGGGUGACCGGCCACAUUGGGACUGAGAUACGGCCCAGACUCCUACGGGAGGCAGCAGUGGGGAAUAUUGCACAAUGGGCGGAAGCCUGAUGCAGCAACGCCGCGUGCGGGAUGACGGCCUUCGUGUUGUAAACCGCUUUCGCCUGUGACGAAGCGUGAGUGACGGUAAUGGGUAAAGAAGCACCGGCUAACUACGUG